rnacentral:rRNA from 1 species
AAUAUUGGACAAUGGGGGCAACCCUGAUCCAGCCAUGCCGCGUGUGUGAAGAAGGUCUNUGGAUUNUNAAGCACUUUAAGUUGGGNAGAAGGGCUUUAGGCUAAUACCCUGAAGUUUUGACGUUACCAACAGAAUAAGCACCGGCUAACUCUGUGCCAGCAGCCGCGGGAAUACAGAGGGUGCAAGCGUUAAUCGGAAUUACUGGGCGUAAAGAGCGCGUAGGUGGUUAAGUAAGAUGUGUGUGAGAUCCCCGGGCUUAACCUGGGAACUGCUUUCAUAACCGCUGAGCUAGAGUACGGUAGAGGGUAGUGGAAUUUCCUGUGUAGCGGUGAAAUGCGUAGAUAUAGGAAGGAACACCAGUAGCGAAGGCGACUACCUGGACUGAUACUGACACUGAGGUGCGAAAGCGUGGGGAGCAAACA